CAAACACCAAAUGGAAUAGAGUCAAAUGCUAAUAUGCUAAGUUGGACAAAAUAAUAAACUGUGAAAACGUGACAAGACAAAGAGGUAGGCUAGAGCAGUUGAUCCUUCAGAAAUGACUCAGAAGUCAUACAAACUGUACAGUAUCUAAGGAUCUAAAGGAAGCAAGACUAUACAGUAGCUAAAUAUGAGGAGAAAAAUGAAUUCCACUCAUUUGGGAUCUCACAAAUUCAUGGUGUUUCCAAGUUUUCUCCUAACCUUGAAAUCACCAAAAUAUACUUACGAAAGAAUCUAUUUGAAGAAUGUAAACUGAUUGCUGCUGAAAUACUGCAUGAACUUGGAGAGAUAUUGCAGAAAUAUGCUGAGUAUAGCUUUACUUGCCCUGUGGGAAUUGUAAAUCUUAUGAAUUACAGCUGGCAUGAUCUUAUUGAUGGUGCUUGUAAGUGUGAAACCAAAAAUUUGAAGAAAAAUACAGUGCCUUAAAAAGAGAUUACAACAUUACCCAAGUCAGCACCCGUUCAAGAGAGGAGUAUCAUAAGGAAAAUCAUCUUUUGCAAGCAGAAGAAGGCCACCCUGUUUCAUUGGCUCUUGUCAAACAAAACCAGUAUUCCCAGAUCCCACAGGAUAGCUAUUUACCUGUUGUCAUCCACUUCUCACUGUCAUCCAACAUCUGUUUAAAAAAUGGCUAGAUCUUUCAACAUCCUUACUCAAAAUUGGAAAUUCUGAAAUGGAAGACAAUCCUCAAUACUGCUGUGAAGAGACUACAAGAAGCCAUAAUUCAAAUGUAGGGAACCUCCUAAAAUCUUUAGAAUCAUAUAAUUUUAUGGCUAAUGAUGGUUAGAUAGGCAAGAAGAGAUACUGAGCCUGUGGGACCCUGGGUGAUUCCCUCUAUCGCUUUGCCUGUCAUGUCUGUAAUGUGAAAAAAUAUGUACAUACAUGCACACACAA